GACAGAGGGUGCAAACGUUGUUCGGAAUUACUGGGCGUAAAGCGCGUGUAGCGGCACUGCAGGUGGAUGUGAAAUCCCGCGGCUCAACCGUGGAAGUGCACCCGAAACCGCAGAGCUAGAGUAUCGGAGAGGAAGGUGGAAUGCUUGGUGUAGAGGUGAAAUUCGUAGAUAUCAAGCGGAACACCGGUGGCGAAGGCGGCCUUACUGGACGAUUCUGACGCUGAGACGCGAAAAGG
rnacentral:rRNA from 1 species